rnacentral:lncRNA from 1 species
CGCAUCUCUGGGCGCUGCCUACGCUGCAGGCGGCGUCUCUGCGGAGGAUGAUGCCGAAGGCUCCGGCUGUGCCGCUGGGGAGCGCAGCGGGGAGGGCCUGGAUGGAGAAGGGCCUGGCUGGACGCGUGGGGGCCGAGGAGCCCGAGAGGAACGGCUACGAGGAGCCGGUUCCCCUGACAGGAGCCGGCACAGUCGAGCUGCUGGUGCCACACCCGGGGCCGCCUCUGGUCACAGCCAAGGCCAGGGACCGUCUGGAGAGCCACAUGCUGAGGAAGAAGCUCCAGCGCAAGUGGGGCUUACCGCGCGUGGUGCAGAGAUCCCUGGGCGCGUUCACACCCCUGCCACCUGGGAGGGGGCCCCCGAGGUGGGGCCAGGCCCCAGCCAGAGAGAGCGUCGCCACGGGCAGCCUGCACUUCCUGCGCACGGAAACCAGGGAGCGCCUGGAGUCGCACGUGAGGAAACUGGCCCUGGAGCGGAGAUGGGGCCUGCCCAAGAGGAUCCUGGAGACCUUACGGAUGUUCCUGCCACCUGCCCCACCAGGAGCAGAGCCCAGAGGCCAAACCCAGCCCCUGCUCCAUGUCUGCCAUACACCCCACCAAGGUCCUACAGCCCUCUCCACGGGGCAAUCGGGAGAGCUCCAGCCAGGCCCCGGGGAGCCCCUCACCCACCGGUCCCAGCACUGGCAUGAAAUGGGGGUAAAGGAGGGUAAAGCCAGCUGCCCCGAGGCAGUGCCCCAACAUGUCAUGGGGAGCAGCAGCAGGAGAAGCCAGGAGACCUCCCAGACGAGUGAUGGGGAAGGGGCCCCUGGCUCCCCACACCACUUCCCAGAGGACAAGGCAGAGCUGAAAUCCACCCUGGACUUCCCCGGGAAGAAGGUGCUGGGAAUUUCCGACCGGGCCCAGGGGUUCCAGAGACUGGCCUUUCGCCCGGCAGCCCACGAGCCUCACCCACAGCAGAGAGAGCAGAGCUCUGAGGAAAGUCCCGGGCAGUGGAGCACCCACGAUGGUGAAGGAGCUCCACGGCUGGUGGGGACCGGCAGGCGCUCCCGGAGCUCGUCUGUGGAGACAGCCGUUUGGAGUGAGAAGAGGAUCUCACGGGAGCUGGAAUCCAGCUUCAGGAGAAUGGUCCGGAGCCGCAGCCGCCAUGGCCCAGGGGGGAAGCAGCCUCUGUCUCUGGAAAUCGUGGGCGACCUGGAAAUGGACCAUUGCACAUGCUUGCACUGCCCGUGCAGCAAGCUAGAGGGGUGGGACGGCGCCCGCUCUCUGGGAACCAGCUCUCCGGUGUGGCAGACACAGUGUAUCCGUGUAAGGGGGUCAGCAACUCUCCUAGGAGACGCGGCAGAUCCAAACCCUCUGCAUGCUGAGCCUGGAUGGCAGGGGCAGGGCGCUCCCAGCGUGGCCAAAGAUGAACCACCUGUCUCCUCUCCGUCGUCUCUGGAGGGCAGCGAGUUCAGGGCCUCCGACUGGUCUGCUGGAGAAAGCGCUCGCGCAGCCUCUCGCCCAGCGCCCGAGGGGCCCUCGCUGGCACGGGAGCAUCUUGCUUCUCCGUGGGCCGUGGCACACCGGCUGGACAUCCACCUGGCGCAGAAGGCCCUGGGCUCCUUCAUCCUGCCGCCCUGCGUCAUACACUCCCAGGCCGUCUAUG